AAUAAAAUGAUGUGUGAGUUCUGUCACUGCUGACUUGUGUUGAGACGUGGCCCAGAGGGAAGGGUUCUAAACAACUUCUGGUUGCCCCAGUGGUGCGAAUUUCACAGGUUGCAAGCUUCCAUUCUUUUGUGACAACUGAUAUUUCAUUCCCUCCCUCCUGUACCUUUCUUUUAUUGAAUUCUCCCUUACAAUUCUCUGUGAAAAGAAUACCACCACCCGUGUGGUCUCUUGGUUGAAGAAGCGUACAUGAGCUGACCUUCUGUGUGUGAUCUAGCUGAAGUGCUCAGAGCACAUGAGAACCGCUGGUGACGGCUGUACAUACAGGCUCCGUGUUUGUUUUCCCCUGUGGAUAUCUGAACUUUCUUUUCUUCACAGGUAAAGUCAGUGAUCAACCUUUUGUUUGCUGCCUAUACUGGAGAUGUGUCUGCACUUCGAAGAUUUGCUUUGUCAGCCAUGGACAUGGAACAGCGGGACUACGAUUCUAGAACAGCACUCCACGUAGCUGCUGCAGAGGGUCACGUUGAAGUUGUUAAAUUUUUGCUGGAAGCUUGCAAAGUAAACCCUUUCCCCAAGGACAGGUGGAACAACACUCCCAUGGACGAAGCGCUGCACUUUGGACACCACGAUGUGUUUAAAAUCCUCCAGGAAUACCAAGUCCAGUACACACCUCAAGGAGAUUCCGACAAUGGAAAGGAAAACCAAACCGUCCAUAAGAACCUCGAUGGCUUGUUAUAAUGGUCUUACAUCCCAAGAUUGAAAUCACUUACCUAUUUAAUUGUGGAAAAUAAUUAUGAAGAACGUGUGUAUUUCUAUCUGGUAGUGAUGCAUAUUUUACAACCUUUGUCAUUUCAGUGUUAUUGGAGUUUUCUUCAUUGUGCGCACAGGACAAAUCUGAUCUCUUGGGAAAAAUAGAAAUAAAACAAUCUCCCUCCAUAAUGUGAGCAAUAUUUACCUCGUGCAUUGUAAAAUUUGAUGUAAAAGAAAUAGUUACCAAUGCUAGCUUAACUUUGUGGUCUUCAUGAUUUGUGUGUUUUGUGAAUUUUCGACUCAUGGUGAAGAUGUGCUGAAAUGCAUCUAGAAAGUAAGCUCUGUUGUACAGUCUGUCCAAACGGUCAAGGCUGUUUUUAGAAGCAAACUGUGUGAUUUUCAAGACUUUAGAUUUUGUUUGAGUGUUUGAACAACUAAGAUGCACUUAGGGUGUAUGUUUAAAAUGUCUCCCAUCACCCAAGCUUCACGGUGUGACUCUUUAAAAAUUUUAAUAGUUAACAACUGUUAGUAGGAUAGACUGAAUCUGUUUAGACAUUAUCAGGGAAUCUGUAUAAAAUAUGUUUGGUGACCAAAACCUAUGUGUGAAUGUAGCAGUGAUGAUACUUUUGAAAAAACAUUUCCUUUUUCUAUAUCCCCUUAGUCCAGCCUCUCUUCUCAGACAUUAGUAUCUGCCUCUUCCCUUUGGCUGGGAGAGUGAGUGCUGGCACACUAUGCAGUUUUCAUGUUUUCCACGGUGAGUCAGAACAUGCCUCAUAUUUCUGGCAUCAGAGCUAGAAUGUUGCCAUUUGUCUACAGAGGAUGAACCAGAGACAAGAUUACUAAGUAUAAAUUAGUCCAAUUCAUCAGUUUAGAAAAUGAAGGGAUGUGCUACUGUCACUCCUUCAUGUAUUCUUCAGUGUCUAGGAAAAAGACACAUUUAGAAAUGCUCUAAGCUACCAAAGCUAUUCUGAUGGUGUGAGAACUGCUAAAGUAACACCAGUUUUUAAAGCUGUCCUUCAAACUCUGCGUUGAGAUACUGGUCCUCUUCGGGGGGGACCGCUGGGUCACUCCAGAUUUCUUCUGAUUCUCUGUGCUACCUUUUUUGGUGGCCUCUCUAUCCAGUUUAAAAGAAAGGCCACUUUGAAUUGAGACCCAUCAUUUCUUGGUCUCGGGGAGGGAACUCACAAUUGAUUUGGAAGGUAGGUAAAAGGGGCUUCAAGAUGGAAUGAGCAGAAUUUUCCAGGAGUUGCACAUACAUUUUGUCCUAUCUCACUUCAAAGGAUGGAGGGUAUGUGAGGGAGGGUUUCUGAUACUAAGCACACGUGCGUGCGCAUGCACACGCGCUCACACCCACACAUGGACUUCUGUGACGCUGUGUCCAGUGAAUGCGCAGGACGGACUUCAGGAAUGCGAGUCAUUCCUGGAUGGAAUGACAGGGCAGUUUUUCUUUCCUCUUUCCCCUCUCAGCACACACUGCUGCUUCCAAGCUUUAUUUUGCCUGUUGGCACCUCCCUCGCGCAGCCUCUGGGGGUUUGGUUUUGGCUGUCAGUCAGCCACUGCUCCCCAGGACCUGGACAGCACUCCCUUUGAGGAAGCCAUGGCUGCUGUUCCAUAGCUACCCCAGGCCCGCUCGCUCUGGCUUCUGUCGAGGAUGGGGCUGGGCAACCGGCCCGGCUGCUGCACUCCUGCCCCUUAGGUCUGAGGUCUACCAAGCUGCCCAGACAGGCGGUGUCUGCAAGACGCUGCCCAGGAGAGCAUCACCCCCAAAGAUGCUGUGGGAGGAGGGACACACUUUAACUGCCAUGAGCUGAGCUAGCUUUGCUGCACUGUGUGAUAACAUGCAACACAAGGACAGCUCAGGUAUGUGGCUUGAAGACUUUUCUCCAAUAAACAGAGCUUCUAUUACUUGGGAAGAGAGGGAGAGUUUGCAUCUUUUCUCAGCUCCAGGCUGUUUUGUCAAAUCUCUGUGGUUUAGUUAACUGUGCCCUGAGUUGCACCUGAUGUUAUGACUAUGCACCGGCUCCUGCUCUGCUGUUUGCUCUGGCCGGUAAUAAUGAGUACACGUGGUUUAAAAGCUUGUUGACUGUGCUGCAAAAUUGCUACUAUCAGUAAACUCCAAAGAUCUUUUGGUUCUGGCUUUAGGGUCACAUCUGCUUUUCUGUAUCACAAGAGCACUAUUUGGUCAUGUUCAUAUUUAAAGAUUCAUGUACACUGUUUUUCUCGCUGGUCUCAUCUUCGGUAAUGGCUGAACCCUGCUGCAGCCACACAGCCCGUUAGCUGCAUCGCUGCAUUCGCUAGGGACCACUCGAUGCUGUUUUCUGCCUGGCAGGGACUGAAUGACCUGAUGUUGGAUUUAGAUUCUUCCUGGGGAGUACACAGCUAUGAAUGUAUUUGCUUCCAAUAUCUCCCAAAGUGAAUCUAAUAUUAAAAUCCGUAAGUUGUAAGUAUUCUGAAACUGGGAAACAUUUAUUUUAAAUGAAAUCAGGUAGUGUUGCUUUUUACAGCGUAAUAAAUACAUGUAUAAACAAAACUGUGUGAAAAAUGAAUUUUCUUAAAACAACCAAGGUCUUCUCCUCAGCCCGGGGCUGGCCACCCUGACUUGUUCAGUUGGUUCAGAUCCACUGGGAAUGCCCAGGGUGAGCCAGGCACUGCGUAGGGUGUCAGGAUCAGCAGGAGAGGCCCUAAGGGGCUCACCCUUGAGGGUGGGGUGGGCAGGCAUGUUUCUGGCGCUCUAGAAGCUAACAUUGUCCUUUCACAGUUACGAAAGGCUCAGUAAGUAAGUAUUGAUGAACAUUAAAACACAGCCUUCCAGGACAGGGAAGUUUGUCUUCACAAAGCCUUGACAUCUAUUGGGAGAGAUGAACACAGCCCUGCCAUCCUAGGCUCUAAGCUGGACCAACCAGCAACCCUCAGCUCCCAGUAUAAUUCAUUCCAUGUAGGAAUGGCAUUAGUUCCAACCCAGGAACCCCGCCCCGGUCAGAGCACUCCUUCCUUCCAGGGUUAGGGUCAGCGUUUGGUGUCGAGCCACAGGAGAAGGUUGAACACCAUGGCUGUCACAUUUUCAUCUACUGAAGUGCUUUGUCUGAAACUAAGUUCUCUGCUACAGGAGUCACAGUGUCCUGUCACCUGCAUUACUCAUAUUUUAGAGCUGGGAGGGACAUCAGCAGUUUGUUAACGUAACCUAUUCAAAAACACAUCAAGUCCACGCCCACGAGUGGGCUAGGAUACUUAACUCUUAGUCUCAUGCUGCUUCCCCACACAUCUUACAACACUGAUUCUGCCCACAGUGGAUAGAAAGUGGGUAUUAGCUUAUUCAUAUUAACUCACUCGUAUUAGUAAGGGCCUUUCUCCCACUGAGCUUUAAGAAGACACACAAAUGUCACAUGUUACCUCCUGCAGCUAUGGAUACGUGUAUCCACAGAGAGAAGUUAGUGCAAGGGCAACAAAUGUGUGGAGAAUCCAAAGAAUGAAAAGUUACACUUGUUGUUGAUACAAGAUCAUUUCACUGUUGUGGGACUUUUUCUUCAAAGGUAAUCUGCCCACUUUUGCUGCUGCUCCUCACAGGUGAAAGGAGCGAAUCCGAAGCUGCAGGCCAGACGGCUUAGGGAGGCAGCCUUUGGAUGUGUUAAGGUGGCACUUGCAGAAGAGGUUUUGGGGAAUUGAAGUGCGGACGGGAUGUGUGUUUCUAGGUUGUAGAAGGUACAUGUGUUUGGGGGUGGGAAAGACUGGAAGACUAAGCAGAGAUGGAGGGUUUUAUUUCUGUUCUGGAUUCUGAACCUAACUCCUGGCCUCUGUCCGCCUAGCCUUCCUUCACUGGAGUCUUGACAAGCUGUGGGAACAGCAAAGGAUGAUCAAGAUUGUUUCAUUCAUGUAUAAGAAAUGGAGAGGGGCUGCCAGUAGAUGCCAGCAGGCACUGAAGUGUUAGGUUGACAUUAUGAAAUGUUACAGAAGAACUUGCACAGUCUGAGGAACGCUUUGUAGCUUUCUGCCUUCUAGGUAACUUGAUGCUCUUUGUAUGCCCAGCUAAACUUUAAUAAAUAAGUUUACAACUA